UAGUAGUAUAGUUCGAUAUUAGUCAAUGAAUGUUGGGAAGAAACGAUAAAUAAACGAUAAUAACACACAACAACAGAAAUAACAAAAAAAAUAUACUAAAUAGCAACCAGAUGAUGAUGUUGAUGAUUACGUUGAGGUUGUUGUUUUAACAAAUUGUGAAUUCGAAAAAUCAGUUGAAAUUUGCUCGCCUUAGCAAGAGGUUGUUAACAGCUCCGCCUCUUGAUAGAAUAACAAACUAAAUUUUUCUUUUUUUUUUUAAAUAAUAACGCGGGUUUUAAACAGAAACUUUUAAAUUUUAAUUAAGAAUUUUUUGAAUAUUGAAAAUAAAUAAAAUCGAACGAACAUUUUUGAACCAGAAAACGCAAAAUUUUUUUUAAAAAAAAUAUUAAAAUUUUAUUAAAAUAUAAAGAAAAAAAACUAAUAAAAAGAACUUAAAAGUGCAAAGUGUUUUUUGAAAAUAAAAGAAGUUUUAUUAACGAAUUUAAUAAAAAAUUGUUUAAAGCAAACAAACAAAACAGUUGCCACAAAAGAAAAAAAAUAUUGAAAAAUAAUUUAACAAAAUUUUAGUAAAAUAAUAAACAUAAUAUUAUCUUUAAACCACUUAAAAGUUACACUAUCAAACAACUACAAAAAAAAUUUCAUUUCUCUCAGUGUAACUAAAAACAAGCGUGCCUUUUUUAUCACAUAUCAAACAAAAUAAUCGUUAAAAUUAAAGUGUUUUAAAUAGAAUAUGUUUAAUAGUAAACAAUUACCACCACCUCCAACAACAAGACGACGAAAUAAUCUUCAAACAUUGCCAGUGACUUUAUCAUCUAGAACGUCAACAUCUGCAGCAACAGUCAUCUCAAAUUCAUUAUUAAGCACCACCACCACCUGUAAAAGCUCAAACAGCCUUAAAAUGUCUACCCGCCAAAGUUAUGUGUUCUUAGGUUUAACCGUACUGUUAACAAUUAUAGCCACAGUCCAAUCUGGACCAGUGUCAACGACAACGCAAGCUGAGAUAUAUUUAUCACAAUUUGGUUACUUACCCGCCUCCGCCCGCAAUUCUGCCAAUGGUGGUCUCUUGGAUGCCAAUACCUGGAUCAAAGCCGUGCAGGACUUUCAAAGUUUCGCCGGUUUAAAUACCACCGGUGAGCUAGAUGCUGAGACCAUGGAAUUAAUGUCACUGCCACGUUGUGGCGUACGCGAUAAGGUGGGUUUUGGUAAUGAUAAUCGUUCUAAGCGUUAUGCACUCCAGGGCAGCCGUUGGCGUGUAAAGGCUUUGACCUAUAAAAUCUCCAAAUAUCCUAAACGUUUGAAGAAAGCUGAUGUUGAUGCCGAAAUUGCUAGAGCUUUUGCUGUCUGGAGCGAAUACACCGAUCUAAGUUUUACUCCCAAAAGUUCGGGACCAGUACAUAUUGAAAUUAAAUUUGUUGAAAGUGAACAUGGUGAUGGUGACGCUUUCGAUGGUGUAGGUGGCACCUUGGCUCAUGCCUUCUUCCCUGUCUUUGGUGGUGAUGCUCAUUUUGAUGAUGCUGAACUUUGGACCAUAGGCAGUCCUCGUGGCACUAAUCUUUUCCAAGUAGCUGCUCAUGAAUUUGGUCACUCUUUGGGUUUGUCACAUUCCGAUGUACGUUCCGCUUUAAUGGCUCCCUUCUAUCGUGGUUUUGAGCCUGUUUUCAAAUUGGACUCUGAUGAUGUUUUAGCCAUUCAGGCUUUAUAUGGCAAGAAGUCCUCUUCAAAUGGUAAUGGUAUAAAUCCCCCCAGCGGUGGUGCCUUCCCACGUACUACACAAAGACCCGCCUUUGCUCCACCACGCACACCCAGAGAUGAUCAAUUAUGUAAAGAUCCCAAAAUUGAUGCUCUCUUCAACUCAGCCGAUGGCCAGACUUAUGCUCUUAAGGGCAAUAAAUACUAUAAGCUUACCGAAAACUCAGUGGCCGACGGAUAUCCCAAACUUAUCUCAGAAGGAUGGCCUGGUUUACCAGGCGAUAUUGAUGCUGCUUUUACCUAUAAAAAUGGCAAAACAUAUUUCUUCAAGGGCACCAAAUAUUGGCGUUACAAUGGCCGUCAAAUGGAUGGUGAUUACCCGAAAGAGAUUAGUGAAGGUUUUACCGGAGUGCCCGAUCAUUUGGAUGCUGCCAUGGUUUGGGGCGGUAAUGGUAAAAUUUACUUCUAUAAGGGCAGUAAAUUCUGGCGUUUCGAUCCCUUGAAGAGACCACCAGUUAAGUCCAGCUAUCCCAAACCGAUUUCGAAUUGGGAAGGCUUGCCAAAUAGUUUAGAUGCUGCCUUACAAUAUACCAAUGGUUAUACGUACUUCUUUAAGGGUGAUAAAUACUAUCGGUUUAACGAUAGAACAUUUGCAGUUGAUGCUGCUGAUCCUCCAUUCCCCCGCCCCUCAGCCCACUGGUGGUUCGGUUGCAAGAAUACACCCUCAACAACAGGUAAUAUUGUGGACAAUUCACAGGAAACUGAAUUGCAUGAAUCAUCUUUCAAUGAUUAUGAAAAUGAUGAUACAGUAUUUGAUGCAGCAAAUACUUUUAGGAUAAAAUGAGCUGCCAUAUUUUUAUUAUAUUCCCACCACUUUGGUUUUCAAAAGCAUGAGUUUUUCCUUUGCAUUUCCAAAAGUCAAUUAAAGGCGUACGAAAACGUGGAUAAAUUACAAAAAAAAACAAAAACUUCAUACACAAACUGUAAAGAAAACAUAAAUAAUACAUUAAACAUAUCCCCACACAUAUACGCAACCCCCCAAACACACACACACACAGUCACAAAACAAUAUACAUACAAAUGCAUAAAACUAUUAAACUAAAAGCUUCGCAAUACUACAACGUUAUAAAAAGAAAAAGGAAACGGAAAUAAUUGUUAGAAAUGUAAAGUAGUGUGUAAUAGUAGAAAAUUUUCUUUUGCUUACACUUUCUAGCUUCUUCUCUCUCUUUGUCUCUUUCAUUCUCUGUAUGCAAUACAAAGCUUAGAUGUCUUAGAUCUUUGUAAAAUGUUAAUGUUAUCCCCCCCCCCUUUCCCAAUCUUUCACUUUUUCCUUCUCUUUUGUAAUUGAGUGUUAAAAGUAUGGCUUAGAGAGUAGUAAAAACAAAAACGAAAAUGUUAACAAAUUGCUGCAAGCACGUUAUUAUUUGAAUGUUAGUUUGUUUUGUUAAUUCUUGCUAAUUGCAACAAAUUUCAAAGUGAUUUUUUUAAAUAAUUUUUUAAUUUUUUAAAACUAUUUUAUUUUCUUUUUUUUUAUUUAUUUGAAACAAACAAAAACGACUUUAAACGAAAACUAAAAACAAAUUCAAAACACUCAAAAACGAUUCUGAAACACUUUAAAAAUUUUAAAAACUAAAAAUCUGACUCAAAAAACUUUAAAAACCAACACACCCAUCCACCCACCAACCAACCAAGCAGAUAUUGAAAAAAGAGAUGUAAAUAAUAAUGGCAGAGGAUUUGUAACGCCUGGCUGGAUGUGGAAUAUAGCACGUUCAUGGUUUUAAAGUUUAACAAACAACAACAACAACUAAACACACAACAAAAGAAACGUGAUAUUUUUGUAAACAACAAAAAAAAAGUUAAUAAUAAUAUAAAAAAACUAACUAAAUGAGACUUGGUAAACUAAACCAAACUUAAAAA